CCCAGCUACUCGGGAGGCUGAGGCAGGAGGAUGGCCUGAGCUCAGGAGUUUGAGGUUGCUGUGAGCCAGGCUGACGCCACGGCACUCACUCUAGCCUGGGCAACAAAGCGAGACUCUGUCUCAAAAAAACCCAAAAAAAACAAGAAAGCUCACUGGCGGCUCCUGGGCAGUCUUCACGAGAGUCAGCUCCCGGGGACCUGCUGGCUCUGCUGUGAGCUUGGGUGAGUCCCAGGUGAGGAGCCCUCUUCGAAACAGCCCCUCCUGGCUUAAGGCCCGGAGUCCUGUCCGUGGAGCCUGGUCCCCAGGGAGUUUCUCCUGCACACACCCACGUGCGCGGGGAUGGAGGCAGGGUGGCCACCACGGCACUGCUUGUCUUAGCAAAGGACUAGACAUAACCUGAGUGUCCAACGGAGGGGACUGGUAAUUCUGCAUGUCCGUUCAGUAGCAUGCUGGGAGCUCUUAAAAAGAAUGAGACUCGCUGGAGUGUGCUCGCAUGUGGGGGGACAGCUCCUGAGCCCCACGUGGGCGCUUGGCCUAUUUUGUGCCCUUAGAAGCUGCCACAGGCCUCAGAGAUCAGCCGCCUGCUCUGCGCAGCCGCAGUCCUCGCCAGGUGACGGGCAGAGGAGUAAGAUGGAGGAUGGAAAGUUCCAGGGCCCCAGGGGUCUGCCAGUCCCAACCGUGUGGCCUUCAGUGACCCACUCUGCACUCUUUGCCUCCCCUAUAAGACGGGGACAAUCUACCUGCCUUGCAGGUGCGAUGGGCGCCUGGCAUGCAGCGCAGGUGUGCGGUGCAGGUGAGCGCGACCGAAACUCUCCCCAGUGCGGCCUGCAGGGCGGGGUCCAGGGAGACGUCCCCAUCCCUCUGCAGGGAGGAGCAGGGGCUCCGUGCUCGGGCCCCGCCUGUCACCUGCUCUGUGUGUCGGGACGCUCAGCCGCCCUCGCAGCCAGCGGGCGGGGAGGGGAAGAGUUCCCGCCACUGUCUCCUGAGAUGGGACAUACAGGAGACACACGGGCCUUGCCCGACGCUACAGCGGCAGCCUGCUGUGCCUGGUGUUCGGAAGGGGCUGAACACCCUGGGGACCAGCAGUCAGCUUCCCUUUUCCAGCCCUCCCAGCACUCGGCUGCUCAGACAGGGAAUCUCGUCUCUAGCUGGGGCCUCCGGAACUCCGGGUCCUCCAGCCGUCUUCCUGAAAACCGCAUGUAUAUGCAAGUGUCAGUGACUCACGCAGCUUAAAUGCAGCUUCGCCACUCCCUCUCCGGCUGCCAGGAGAAUCUUCCGAGGGGUUUGUGUGUGAAGGUGAUGACCAUUGUUUUUUUAAGAAUGAUACAAUGCUCAUGCUCAAACGAAACAACAAGCAAUAUGGCAAAGUACAAAGAAGGAAGUAACAAAAAGUAACAAGAUUCCUCCCAUCAGGCCAGCUUCAUGACUGCAGAAUUUUUUUUUUUUUUGGAGACACAGUCGCGCUCUGCUGCCCAGGCUGGAGUGCAGUGGUGCGAUCACAGCUCACUGCAGCCUCCAACUCCUCUGAUCCUCCCCCCUCAGCCUCCCAAGCAUCUGGGACUACAGGUGUGCACCACCACGCCUGGCUAAUCUUUUAAAUUUCUUUGUAGAGAUGGGGCCUUGCUAUGUUGCCCAGGCUAGUCUCACCUCAACCUCCCAAAGUGCCAGGAUUACAGACGUGGGCCACCGUGCCUGGCCUAGGGCAGGAUUCUAACUGCUCUGUUCUCUGCUGUAUUCCUAGCACCUAGAACUUCCUGGCACAUUUAAUAAAGCCCACUCUCCGGUGUUAACAUUUUGCAAAUGUCCUACGUACACAAAGAAGUUUGGAGAGAUAAAGAGGGUUAGGUGGUGUUGGGCUCAGAAAGCCAUACCCCAGAGACUGGCGCUCAGAUGUGCUGAGAGGCCUUAGAAGCUGCCUCAGAAUCAGGGUCCUUUAGCUUUCUUUUUUUUGAGACAGAUUCUCACUCUGUCACCUGAGCUAGUGUGCCGUGGUGUCAGCUCAGCUCACAGCAACCUCCAAACUCCCGUGGUUCAAGCGAAUCCUCCUCCUCAGCCUCCGGAGUAGCUGGACUACAGGCAUGCGCCACCAUGCCCGGCUUUUUUUUUUUUUCUAUUUUCAGUUGCCAGCUAAUUUCUUUCUAUUUUUAGUAGAGACGGGGUCUCGCUCUUCCUCAGGCUGGUUUCGAACUCCUGACCUCAAGGGAUCCUCUCACCUUGGCCUCCCAGAGUGCCGAGGGACUACAGUGGGAUUACAGGCAUGAGCCACCCCACCCCGCCCCUUCAGCCUAGUCUUGUUCCCUCCCUGCCCCCAAGUAAAGGGAGGGACUGUCUCUGGAAUUUCCUUAUCUGACUAAGAAAGCUUCUUCGUGGGAAGGAAAAAAACCCCACACAAUUACUUAAGAUCCCCUCCCUAGGAAUUCCACCAAAUAACCAGGAAAGAUCAACCACCCAGAAGAGAGUGAGUGUUGGCCCAGACAGACUUUCCAUCUCUUCUUCUGAAGCUGCUCCAAGAUUACCUGGGGGCCGUCAGCUGCUUAAUAAGAGGAGCUUUGUUCCCCAGCCGUUCUGCCCCUCACCUUCCUGUCACUGGCCCAAGCUAGCCCCCACAGAGAACCCCGCUACCCACUGUGUGAGCACUGGGCCUGUCUGCCUCCUCCACCCCCGCUCCCCUCUGCCCAGUGAAGAGGGAAACAAACAGCCCCUCUGGGGGGUCAUCUUUUGUAUGACUCCCAUGCACGAGUGCACAUAAUAAACCUGCCAUGCUUUUCUCUUGUCAACCUGGUUUUUGUGAUAGGGGCGAGGGGAGGAAAGGGAUCACCCCAUUUCUGCCCCUACAGUUCAGAAAAGGGAAAUAGGCCCAAAUAAUUUUACAUUGCCCAGGCUGGUCUCGAACAUGUGGCUUCAAGCAAUCAUCCCGCCUCAACCUCUAAAAGCAGUGGGAUUACUGGCCAGAGCCAUCCUUCCUGGCCCCAAAUAACUUUAAAAGAUGGGAAUGUACCAUAUGUGUUCUAUUUCAAACUAAAAGUAUUUAAUUUUACUUGAGUUUAAUAGAAAAAAAAGACAGAAAAAUGGCUGAAUCUUAGAUAAAUAUUUAUUUUCCACAGGAGAUAUUAGUUCAUAAAUGGAUUUCUCUAAGCUUCAAGAAAGAGAGAGGAUAACGAGGGCGCGCGGGCUCAUGCCUGUAACCUAGCACUCUGGGAGCCAAGGCGG
rnacentral:lncRNA from 1 species